CCAUUUGUUCUGGAUGUUACUAAGUUUCUGUUGGAGCUUACUGCAUGCAAGAAGAAAGGCUACUUUUCUUACAUAGCAAGAUGGCUGAGCAAGGUGUGCUUGGUGAGCAGUUCUCUUCUUUAACAACAAUUCCUGGAUCU